GCCUUGGGGAAAGCAGCUCCUCUGAGGAAGAGAAUAGAUCCAGGGAUGUGAGUGGAUGAGGCCUCUUCAAAGGAUUUGAAAUACAGAACAUGGAACCCAAUUGGCUUUGAUGGGUUAUGACCAAGUUGGAUUGGCUGAAGAGCAUCACCCUGCUUGAAUGUGAAUCCUCUGACUGCAGAUUGCCACUUUGGAUCUCUCUUCUCACUUUCUGAAGAGGCUUCCUGAAAGUGAGAUCCUGUGUUUCAGCUUUUGUGGUUGCUACUGUUCUAGAUACAUACCUGAAGAUAGUCUGCUUAUAUGGAAAUAGAUGACCAACUCCAUUGCUCUGGGCCAGAUAUGAGGAAGAAUAUCGUGAUAGAAGGGCAUGACAGAGGAAAGCACCUCAGGACAUGGCACCAGGAAGCAGAGACAGAGAAGGAGAGAGAGAGAGAGAGAGAGAGAGAGAGAGAGAGAGAGAGAGAGAGAGAGAGAGAGUCUCCUCCCCAUGGACAAAAUACAUAUCCCAAAGACACACCCCAAAUGACUCACCCCCCCCAGCCACACCAUAUAUGCCCACGGUUACAACCCAGUUAAUCUGUAUCAGUGGAUUAAUACAUUGAUUAGGUUAAGGCUCUUAUAACCCAGUUAUUUCAUCUCUA